CAGUCGCCGCGGUAAUACAGAGGGUGCGAGCGUUAAUCGGAUUUACUGGGCGUAAAGCGUGCGUAGGCGGCUUCUUAAGUCGGAUGUGAAAUCCCUGAGCUUAACUUAGGAAUUGCAUUCGAUACUGGGAAGCUAGAGUAUGGGAGAGGAUGGUAGAAUUCCAGGUGUAGCGGUGAAAUGCGUAGAGAUCUGGAGGAAUACCGAUGGCGAAGGCGACUAUCUGGGCCAACACUGACACUGAGGCACGAAAGCGUGGGGAGCAAACAGGAUUAGAUACCCCGGUAGUCCCUGUCUCUUAUAC
rnacentral:rRNA from 1 species